rnacentral:rRNA from 1 species
UACGAAGGGGGCUAGCGUUGCUCGGAAUCACUGGGCGUAAAGGGUGCGUAGGCGGGUCUUUUAAGUCAGGGGUGAAAUCCUGGAGCUCAACUCCAGAACUGCCUUUGAUACUGAGGAUCUUGAGUUCGGGAGAGGUGAGUGGAACUGCGAGUGUAGAGGUGAAAUUCGUAGAUAUUCGCAAGAACACCAGUGGCGAAGGCGGCUCACUGCCCGGUACUGACGCUGAGGUGCGAAAAGCGUG